rnacentral:lncRNA from 1 species
UCCUGGGGGAAUGGAUGAUCUUAAAGCUAAAGUUUCUUCAUGUUGCCCCUAGCAGAUUGGAGCUCCAGUACUAUCAGAUUCUUCCUCUUCUAGCAGGAGAUAACCAGAGUUGGAAGCAUCGAUAGAUGGUUGUUGGAAGCUAUUUCCAGGAGAAUUCUUCAUGACAGAGAGUGCCUUUGUUGUAUACAUCUCCCACAUUCUUACUUUGAGUUCAGGUUUAGAAAAGAUGAAGCAAGGC